AUAGACUCUAAAAGUUUAAUUAUUUAGGGCCAACAAUAUAUAUCAAGCUUAACAUUAUCUAUUUCCACAUUUAGAGUGGAAGUAUAAACUAUUCAUUAUCUUAGUGUGGACAAAAAGAUAAAAUUUAGUGAUCCAAAAAGAUAGUCAGACUCAUGUGGAUUGCUUUAGCUGCUAUAGAAAGGAUUAGAUAUGGUUUAAGAGUG
rnacentral:lncRNA from 1 species